GAUGAACGCUGGCGGCGUGCCUAAUACAUGCAAGUCGAGCGAACAGACGAGGAGCUUGCUCCUCUGACGUUAGCGGCGGACGGGUGAGUAACACGUGUAUAACCUACCUAUAAGAGUGGGAUAACUUCGGGAAACCGGAGCUAAUACCGGAGAAUAUAUUGAACCGCAUGGUUCAAUAGUGAAAGACGGCGUUGCUGUCACUUAUAGAGGGAUCCGCGCCGCAUUAGCUAGUUGUGAAGGUAACGGCCUACCAAGGCAACGAUGCGUAGACGACCUGAGAGGGUGGUCGCCGACCCGAGAGCUGAACCACGGACAUGAGUACUGCGAGACGGAGCAGUCGCCAAUCGGACGCAGUAGGCGAGAGUAUUGCGGAGCGGGGCCGAGUCAGAGAUGACAGUGCCCCGAGCGUGAUGAUCGGUUACUAGGGAAGAACCAAUGUGUACGUAACUGUGCACGUCUUGACGGUACUUAGUCAGAAAGCCACGGCUAACUACGUG
rnacentral:rRNA from 1 species